UCACCUCCACACACUGGCCCCCAGGCUGGGCUGGGUGAGUAUCUCUUGGAAAGGCUCAUCUCAAGCACCACUAGGAGC
rnacentral:pre_miRNA from 1 species